UGAUGUUCUAAUUUUUGGUGAUUAUGUGUGUUGGUUUCUCUAAUAUUUCUUUAAUUUCUUAGGCAUGAUUAUUUUUUUUUAGAUCUAAUAUUUUAUAAUUAUAGUACAAGAGUGAAUUAUAUAAUUUUUCUUCUCAAAGCCAUUCAUUUUCUUUCUAGAUUGGACUUUUAAUAUAAUUUUAAAUUAUAUAAUACAGAUG
rnacentral:lncRNA from 1 species